rnacentral:ncRNA from 1 species
GAUUAUUAAGAUUACGGUUCUAAUAACAUGACUUGAAAUUAUUGCAAGGGAGUUUUGUUCUCUCGCUUUACAGCGUAAACACAUGAAUAAUG